CCCCUCUCAGGGUCGCACCUGGAGAGUUUCCAGUAUUCUACCAGUCUCGGCUAUGGAUGGGAGAGUCAAGCAGAGGCCUAGCCAUUCCAUCCCUAGCUUGGGAAGUGUCUAGCAAGUGGAAGGCAAUCUGCUACAACU